CCUACGGGAGGCAGCAGUGGGGAAUAUUGCGCAAUGGGCGAAAGCCUGACGCAGCAACGCCGCGUGGGGGAUGAAGGUUCUCGGAUUGUAAACCCCUUUCGAUCGGAACGAAUCUCCUCUUGGUAAAUAAUCAGGAGGAUCGACGGUACCGGGAGAAGAAGCCACGGCUAACUCUGUGCCAGCAGCCGCGGUAAGACAGAGGUGGCGAGCGUUGUUCGGAUUUAUUGGGCGUAAAGCGAACGCAGGUGGUUUGGUAAGUCAGAGGUGAAAGACCACAGCUUAACUGUGGCACUGCCUUUGAUACUGCCUUUCUAGAGUGCAUGAGGGGGAAGCGGAAUUCCGAGUGUAGAGGUGAAAUUCGUAGAUAUUCGGAGGAACACCGGUGGCGAAGGCGGCUUCCUGGCAUGUAACUGACACUCAUGUUCGAAAGCGUGGGUAGCAAACAGGAUUAGAUACCCUGGUAGUCCACGCCCUAAACGAUGGGCACUAGGUGUGGGAGGUAUCGACCCCUUCCGUGCCGCAGCUAACGCAUUAAGUGCCCCGCCUGGGGAGUACGGCCGCAAGGUUGAAACUCAAAGGAAUUGACGG
rnacentral:rRNA from 1 species